AGCUCCAAUAGCGUAUACUAAAGUUGUUGCAGUUAAAAAGCUCGUAGUUGAAUUUCUGGACGUAGACAUCGGUCUGCCUCGAACGAGGUACGUACCUGUUGUCCGCAUCCAUCCUCGGGGAAAACGUAUCUGCCAUUCACUUGGUGGGUACGGUGUCCUCGUCAUUUACUGUGAGCAAAAUAGAGUGUUCAAAGCAGGCUUAUGCCGUUGAAUACAUUAGCAUGGAAUAAUAAGAUAGGACCUUGGUCUAUUUUGUUGGUUUGUACUCCAAGGUAAUGAUUAAUAGGGAUAGUUGGGGGUAUUUGUAUUCAAUUGUCAGAGGUGAAAUUCUUGGAUUUAUGGAAGACAAACUACUGCGAAAGCAUUUACCAAGGAUGUUUUCA
rnacentral:rRNA from 1 species